rnacentral:misc_RNA from 1 species
GAUGAAGAACGGAGCGAAAUGCGAUAAGUAAUGUGAAUUGCAGAAUUCAGUGAAUCAUCGAAUCUUUGAACGCACAUUGCGCCCGCCAGCACUCUGGCGGGCAUGCCUGUUCGAGCGUCAUUUCAACCAUCAAGCCCCCAGGGGCUUGUGCUGGGGCCCUGCGGCUGCCCGCAGGCCCUGAAAACCAGUGGCGGGCUCGCUAGUCACACCGAGCGCAGUAGCACAUCUCGCUCAGGGCGUGCGGCGGGCUCCUGCCGUGAAACCCCCCACUGUAACCCCAAAGGUUGACCUCGGAUCAGGUAGGAAUACCCGCUGAACUUAAGCAUAUCAAUAAGCGGAGGA